rnacentral:rRNA from 1 species
GGGUAGUUUGACUGGGGCGGUCUCCUCCUAAAGAGUAACGGAGGAGCACGAAGGUUGGCUAAUCCUGGUCGGACAUCAGGAGGUUAGUGCAAUGGCAUAAGCCAGCUUGACUGCGAGCGUGACGGCGCGAGCAGGUGCGAAAGCAGGUCAUAGUGAUCCGGUGGUUCUGAAUGGAAGGGCCAUCGCUCAACGGAUAAAAGGUACUCCGGGGAUAACAGGCUGAUACCGCCCAAGAGUUCAUAUCGACGGCGGUGUUUGGCACCUCGAUGUCGGCUCAUCACAUCCUGGGGCUGAAGUAGGUCCCAAGGGUAUGGCUGUUCGCCAUUUAAAGUGGUACGCGAGCUGGGUUUAGAACGUCGUGAGACAGUUCGGUCCCUAUCUGCCGUGGGCGCUGGAGAACUGAGGGGGGCUGCUCCUAGUACGAGAGGACCGGAGUGGACGCAUCACUGGUGUUCGGGUUGUCAUGCCAAUGGCA